GGGGCUAUAACUCAACGGAAGAGUGCUUCCUUGACAGGGAAGAAGUUGGAGGUUCAAAUCCUCUUAGUCCCC
rnacentral:tRNA from 1 species